AUUAUACUACUAAGAGUCUUUUUCACUGGUUUCUAAUAAAAUUACAUUGGGAAUAGAAUUUUUUUUUCGUGCCUCACGAAGCCAAGGACUAAAAUUUCUACUUGGGCUUUGAACACUCUCAAGGCCUUCCACACAAACAUUUUAAAUGUGAAGAAAUACAUAGUCAGUAUCUUUACGGUGAGGUUGAACGUUGCACUAGCUGGGAUGUGCUUCUCGAACUCUUUCAACCGGCUAUUUAUCGAAUAAGAGAGCUCUUCCACCGACUUCAGAACUCGUUCAAUUCAUUUUGUUUAGUGCGCGAUAGAGUGAAGUAAUAGUAAACCAAGGCAAGUAACAGUUAUUAUAGCGUAAAUAAAUAAAAUUAACUUUAAAAUCAAAAUAUAAUUGAGGUCCAGUUAAUAACACGUCUACGCAGUUUAAAUUCUAACCGCCAAAAUAAACCUUUAUUUUCCACUAAAUCUAUUCCACUAAUCGAGUUUUUGCAAAACUAAAUCUUUUCUGUUCUAUUUUUUUUUACAUCAUUAAUAGCAUUAUCUUUUUUAUUCAUCUUUUUUUUGUAUUUUGACAACUGACAACUGCAACAUAUUUUAUUUAUACUAUUUUUUUGUGUAUAAAAAAUAUCCGCGAUAUGUGUGAAUAAAUGUGUUCUU